CCUCAGACUGUGUUCCUCAGCACACCAUGGCAGAGCAGCAGGAUCAUGACUUCAAGCACUCAGAAACUGGCUGUCUGGUUCUCUGGAAACCCUGUCUCACUGCUGAGCGAGAAGGCUCACAUAUAGAAUGAACACGAAAGGUGCUGGCAUGUACAAGCUAAAUAUUACAGAAUAAAGACGGUGGUAACCAGCCUCAGCCGUGCUGCAUAUGAGCUGUGAGAAAUGGAAGAGAAGAUCUG